rnacentral:lncRNA from 1 species
GAAAAUUUUAGUAAAUUAUAGUCAAUUUUUAUGCAAUGAAACUAUAUAGCUCUUUUUGUUAGAAAUUGUCUUACUAACUAAGCUGCUGGUGGUUCUGUGACGAAGUAGCUCCUGUUGGCUUCCCUUACACCGGGUCAGACACAGGACAUUAAUUAAGGCUGUGUGUGGUGUUUCUGAAAGGUGAGGAGACUGGGCAUUCUGUCUUUUACUCUACAGAUACAUCGUGGGAGACUCAAAGAUUAAAAUGUGGCCACUCACUGUGGAUCAGAAGCAGAAUCUCACAUCAUAACCCCAAAUGACCUGUUACUCACCAUGUGGCCCAGCUGUCUUCAAACUCACCAGCCUCCUGCCUUAGCCUUCUAAAUGCUUGGAUUACAGGCAUGACCCACCAUAACUGGCUUUGUUUUAGUUUCAGAGAAGAUGAAACUGAUGUGCGUCAAAAAGUUAUGGAGGCUGGGAAGACCUAGAAUGUGGCAUCACUAUUUGGAAACCAUGCCGAUUACCGACCGAGCUCUCAAUGGAAAAAUGCAGUCGGCGUGAACCACGCACGAACACAGCAGAGAAAGAAGAAAACACACACCACGAGGAACCCUAAUAGGACAAUACAUUAUAAGCCUCAUGGUACAUCCACUUGGUGUGCUGGGAGAGUCAGGAUGAGGACCUGAGAAGAACAGCAGCUUGAACCUGACUUCAUUUAACAGCCCACUGCCCUCUUGCCAAGAACCCAUCACAGACCUUCCCAGAAGAGAGGGAUGAGCCUCACCUAUGAAUAAGUCCUCAGAAACUCAAAUUUGAUUCUAAUGGAUUGUUUUCUCAGAAAGACUGAGCAUGUCCCCCCACAUCUCUGUCAUUUCCCACAGUAGUAACCUCUGCAGAUGCCACAUAGAAAACAAAACAAAACAAAAAAACAUGAGGUUGGUGGGCAGAUAGGCAGGGUAUAAACAAACAGCCUUGUAACCCAGAAGCUGUGUGAUAUACAGUAAACUUCACAACACUGAAAAGAUGUCCUAUCUGUUAAAAUGGGGUAAUAACAACUACCCGAAUGUUUAGGAAUAGAACUUCAAUAAAUGAUACAUUUUAUAGUACAGCAGACCAUCCUGUAAAGGUUUCAUCCUUCACUGUGGUGAUAAAUAUCCCAAACCACAUUGAAAAGCAUUGCAUCUACAUUUAUCUACACUGUAACUGUACUGUAAAUCAUGGGGGAGGGGAGAAUCAUAAAAACACCACCUGUCACCGUGUCAUUAAAGCAAGUUGGAAGUGAUACUUACAGAAACACAGCAAGAGCACCCCCAGUCACACAGUUCAAUCUCUUAGCAAGCGUUUUCUUUCUAGCCCAGUGGUUCUCAGUUUGGAAUUUUUGGCACUGCCUAGAGAUAGUUUUGUUGUUAAAACUGAGAAAAGAGCCGGGCGUGGUGGCACACGCCUUUAAUCCCAGCACUCAGGAGGCAGAGGCAGG